rnacentral:rRNA from 1 species
UACGGAGGAUCCAAGCGUUAUCCGGAUUUAUUGGGUUUAAAGGGUGCGUAGGCGGCUUAUUAAGUCAGGGGUGAAAGACGGUGGCUCAACCAUCGCAGUGCCUUUGAUACUGAUGAGCUUGAAUACACUUGAGGUAGGCGGAAUGUGACAAGUAGCGGUGAAAUGCAUAGAUAUGUCACAGAACACCAAUUGCGAAGACAGCUUACUAAGGUGCAAUUGACGCUGAGGCGCGAAAGCCAGGGGAGCAAACGGG